rnacentral:snoRNA from 1 species
CUGCAGGUUAGGUUACAAAGCAGCUGCUGCAGUGCUGUUCUGUCGUUCCCCCUGCAAAUAGGAACGGGGUUUCCUCCAAUCCCAGUCUGCUUUUUCCUACAGCAGACAGGGGCAGUAGGUCUCCAAUAC